rnacentral:lncRNA from 1 species
AUGGUGGAGACAGGAGAGGGAGAGAAGAGAACGGAAGAGGAGAGAGAGAGAGAGAGAGAGAGAGAGAGAGUGAUAGAGAAGAAUAGAUGGACUUUUUUACAAAAUAAUCAUCUAAAAUUUUAUAAUUUGCGAAAUAAUCUUAUCAAAUAUGUAUUUGACAAAUUAAUUCUUGAAACAUAGUGAAUUAUUUACCGCAUUCUGAAAGUUUCUAAGAUCUCUUAAAGGCUGUGAAUCAUUUUCCGUUUUUGAAAAAGAGAAAAAAUGAGGUUGUUAAAAUUGUAUGUAGAUUAUACGAAAAAUUUUAAAAAAAGUGAGGUUGUUAGAAUUGUGUGUGAAAUAUUAGAAUUUUUGUUUGAUUGUUAGAACUUGUAUGGAUAGAUUAUUAAAAUUUUUUUGAUUGUUAGGAUUAUAUGGAUAUAUUAUAAGAGUUUUCAAAUGGUUAAGAUUAUAUGUGAUGUUCGAUUAUUACGAUUGUAUGGAUAUAAUAUUAGGAUCAAGGUUGUAUGGAUAGAUUAUUAAAAUUUUCAGGUUGUUAAGAUUAUAUGUGAUUUGUUGAAAUAUUUAUAUGGUUGUUAGGUUUAGAAAAAGAAGCAAUGAAAGGCGAUGAAUGAUUUACCGCUUUUCUGAAAUAUUAGGAAAGCAGUGAAUUAUAAAGAGGGUGAAAAUCAUUUACUGUCUUUAAAAGGUCACUUUUUUAAAUAUAAUUUUGAUAAAAUUAUUUUGUAAAUAAUAAAAUUUUAAAAGAUUAUUUUAUAACAAAAUCC